AUGGGCCCUGGAGAGGGCAAGAAAGCACCCAGGGCCACAGUCCUGGACCCUGGAGCCCCAUCAGGAAGCAACUCCUGGAGCCUGUGGGACAGGUUUCUGCUCUGGCUCAGCUCCCGGGGAGCAGGCCCCAGGUGCUGGCACAACGGGCUGUGGCAUGAGCCACUGCCAGAACAGUAUAUCUUCGGUGAAGGGACCCAGCUCAUCGUCAUUGGCCAGCCCAUUUCUACACCCGUGGUCACUCUGUUCCCACCCUCCUCCGAGGAGCUCAAGGCACACCGGGCCACACUGGUGUGUCUGAUCAGUGACUUCUACCCUCGCACCCUGACGGUGACCUGGAAGGCGGACCACACCCCCAUCACACAGGGUGUGCAGACCACAGAGCCCUUGCAUCAGAACAACCACAAGUACAAGGCCAGUAGCUUCCUAAGCCUGUCCCCUGAACGCUGGAAGUCUCACAGCCAGUUCAGCUGCGAGAUCACGCACGAGGGGAACACCGUGAAGAAGACAGUGACCCCCGCAAAAUGUCAUUAG